GAGGCGUGUCUAAACGUUCACUUUUUCACCGGUGUGUUGAAGCGGCUGAAAGCGAGCAGACUGGAAACAUGCCCCAUUAAUGUGGCGGCUGAAUUUAUUUGGAUAGGAUUUCUCCCACCCAGACAAAAAAAAGAUGAUAGUGAAGUUUAUCUGUGCGGUUAUUACCCGGUCCCUAUUCCUCCUCAUCUCUCUGAUAGGAGUAUGGAGAGUGGUCUGGGUUAAGAAUAAUGCUCUUUAUUGGUUCUUAACGAUCCUUUAUCUUCCUCUGGUGGUCGAGAUGAUUUUAACCCUGAAGAGAAAACAAUUACAGGAUUAUAAAUGGUUUUCUCCUGCCAUCUUCUUGUUCCUCAUCAGUAUCAUACCAUCUCUAUGGAUUCUAGAGUUACAUCAUCAAGAGAACAAAGCUACUGAUUCCAGGUGUGACAAACGGGAUUCAUCUGAAAACAUAAAGAGCCUGAUAAACAUGUGGAGAGGGAAUUCCACCAAUGGCAGCAAGACGUUAUUCCAGGGUUCAGUAUCUCUGUUGUCGUCAGUGUGUGCUAACGACAGGAUCCUAGGCCUCCACCAGACCCUGUUGAUCCUGCUGGUUAUAGGGAAGUGGUUGCUUCCUGUAGCAGGAGGGGUGACCAGGGAUGAACUUUCCCAGCUCCUCCUCAUCUUCGUAGGCACAGCCGCUGACAUCCUGGAGUUCACCUCAGAGACGCUGUUGGAUGUCAAUCCCAGCAUGGUGUACGUCAUCCUAGGAGUCUGGACGUGGAGCAUGAUCCAGUUUCCUCUCCACCUGUCAGUGUCUACCUCCAGACCUGAUGAAUAUUCAGAGGGGGAUCAGGGUGUGUCUCUGCUGGCCAGACUAAGGACAGAUAUCUGGAGCAUGGUGGAGAGCCUCUUCAUCCAGGACGGACCCUUCCUGGUGGUCCGCCUCACCCUCGUCCUCCACUUCCACGUCAUACACCAGAUGCUCAUCUUCUUCGCCAUCAAGAACUUCCUGGUGGUCGUUCUGAACUUCUACCGUCUGUUUGUCAUCUACACCGACUACAAGGCUUCAGGUUGAUCUGAGGUUAUAAUAAGAUGAAAAUUCAGCUGUAAACUGGAACUGAUAAAUAUCUCUGGGUUAGGGUGGGUAGAUGGCUGACAGCAGAGGUGUCUGUCUGAACACUGGGUAAUAUCACUGGGUUAGGGUGGGUAGAUGGCUGACAGCAGACGUGUCUGUCUGAACACUGGGUAAUAUCUCUGGGUUAGGGUGGGUAGAUGGCUGACAGCAGAGGUGUCUGUCUGAACACUGGGUAAUAUCUCUGGGUUAGGGUGGGUAGAUGGCUGACAGCAGACGUGUCUGUCUGAACACUGGGUAAUAUCUCUGGGUUAGGGUGGGUAGAUGGCUGACAGCAGACGUGUCUGUCUGAACACUGGGUAAUAUCUCUGGGUUAGGGUGGGUAGACGGCUGACAGCAGACGUGUCUGUCUGGAUUAUUAACAGCCACAGCUACGGACAAAUUAUUAACAUAAGAUUGUUCAUGUUUGUUUGAUCUCAAACUAGAUCUAUGGGUGGAACCCUUUAAAUAAAAUACAAUUGGUCAGAUACACAUGGUUAGCCAGAUGUUAUUGGUCACGUGGUUAGCCAGACGUUAUUGGUCACGUGGUUAGCCAGAUGUUAUUGGUCACGUGGUUAGCCAGAUGUUAUUGGUCACGUGGUUAGCAGAUGUUAUUGGUCAGAUACACAUGGUUAGCAGAUGUUAUUGGUCACGUGGUUAGCAGAUGUUAUUGCAGGUGUAGCGAAAUGCUUGUGUUUCUAGCUCCAACAGAGCAGUAAUAUCUAACAAGUAAUACCUAACAAUUUCACAACAAAUACCCAAUACACACAAAUCUAAGUAAAGUGUCAUGUCCUGACCAGUAUAGGGGUUAUUUGUUAUUAUAGUUUGGUCAGGACGUGGCAGAGGGUAUUUGUUUUAUGUGGUUCAGGGUGUGUGUGUAUGUAGAGGGGUGUUAGAUUUAUGUGUUCCGGGGUUUUCGGUUUAUGUUCUUGUUUUGUAUUCUAGGGUUUCUAUGUUGUGUAUUUCUUUGUUUGCCUUGUGUGGCUCUCAAUCAGGAACAGCUGUACAUCGUUGUUUCUGAUUGAGAGUCAGACUUAAGGAGCUUGUUUUCCACCUGUCCCUUUGUGGGUAGUUGUCUUUGCACUGCUGUUAGUAUAGCCUGCGAAACUGUCAUUCUGUCGCCUCUUUGUCUUCUUGUUUUUUCGUGUUCACUAUUAAAUAAAUAAUGAUGA